rnacentral:misc_RNA from 1 species
UAUUGACAAUGUAAAUAUUUGCUCGUUCAUUAAUAUAAUUGCAGAGUGCAAUUUUCACUUUAACUAAAUUGUGCCAUUAUCAAUUCAAAGAACAAAAUGGUUGGUCCGUCAUUAUAUUGUAAUGUAGUGUUUGUAAUCACUCGUGUGACCUUUAGUAAUCGAAACCAUAGUUUCUUGUAGUAAGUGUCCCAUUUUUUCUUGAGUCAUUGAACGGAAACUUUUCAUUGGUAUUUGGAAUUGAUUAGAGGCUUCUGUUUCUGUGAAUCACCCAACAGAUAAGGAGUUCCAUCAUGAGGUUUCCUCCUCGGCGCAUCACGUGAUUUUCCAGUCGUCAGAUUAUCGUUUUCUGCCAGCAGAAUUGUCUUCCUAGUUCAAAUAUUCCAUUCUGUUAGCCGUGUUACCUUUACGAAAGCCUAUAAGACCCUACCCGGUAUUAUGUAAUGUCGAGUUUCAUAAGAAUGAGAUACAUUCAUGCCAGAAAAACGUUGUGUUGUCGUUUCGCUUUUAUAGCGGCUAGGGAGGAAUAUCCGUAGCUCGAAGUCGAGCCUUAUUUUUGGAACUGUUCUUUUUCUCGUCGGUGAAACAUCAACGACACACCGAAUCGGGUUAUCGGCUUCAUAGAGCUGGCACGUUCACCGACUCUCCUACACACGCAUAUAUCGUUACCGCAUUAUUUUCUGCGUCAAGUUCUCGAGCAGCUUGACCGUGAAAAGUGAGUGUGGUAGUGUCAGGUUCGUUAGAGCCAUGCGAACGAUACGUGAUGUUUCUAUAUGUACUCGUACGCACUCGAGAAUUUUAUCAGAUUCCUUGCUUGUUCUGCCAACGGAGAUAUCGCUGCCACGUGCACAUUUUUCAUUUUUAAUGUUGCAUAAAUGGAAAGCGAAUGCUGUUAUGGUUUUAACGGAUCAUUACGUUAUGUUGACGACCCUACUAUCGUGAACUUACGCAAUGCGAGAUGAAGCUGUGCAAGCGAAAGCAACCUUUCUGCAGUGCGUGCUGAUAUACAAUAUCACUGAUAACCCUGGGUCUGCGAUUACAGUAAAUCUCUGUAUUGAAAUCGUGCGUCACAUAAAACAACUCAGAAAAAAUCAAAAUCACAAUUCUUGCAAUGAUAGUUUCCCAAUUCUUCAUUCCCUUGACGCAUCAAGACUAUGUUAGAAAUUUCAGCGGUAAACGCCAUUCGUGGAACGUCAUCAUUAACGGUUCCGGAUAUCUAAAACGCGCGAACACUGAACGGCUCCAUGAAAUAUUUAAUCAGUACGCCUCACAAGAAAAGAAUGGCGAGAGGUUUAUGACCGCGUCUGACUUCGUACGAAGUUACCUUGGACUCUACACGAAUCCCGAUUACAAUCCUGAUUCCGUUAACUUGCUCGCCGGUAUCGUUGAUACCAGUAAAGAUGGACUCAUAUCGUUCGCCGAGUUCCAAGCGUUCGAAGGGCUGCUCUGCGUGCCAGACGCUUUGUACAAGACAGCCUUCCAGUUGUUCGACACUAAUGGAAAUGGAAUGGUUGCGUUUGACGAGUUCGCUGAGGUGAUGCUGAAAACGGAAUUACAUCAAAGGAUGCCGUUCAAUAUGGAAAGCAGUUUGAUCAAACUUUAUUUUGGGAAGGACAAGAAGCGGUUGAUCAACUAUGCUGAGUUCAGUCAAUUCUUACACGACUUCCACGAAGAGUACGCAACGGAGGCUUUCAAGAAAUUUGACAAAGACGGUCAAGGCUUCAUUUCACCGCUAGAUUUCGAAGACAUAAUGCUCAGCAUCAAGAGCCACUUGUUAACCAGGGACGUGAGAGACAACUUGGUCGCGGCUGCUAGUACUGGACAGACUGGACGUAAAGUGAGCUUUCCAUACUUCAUGGCGUUCAAUUCUCUCUUGAAUAAUAUGGAGCUUAUAAAACGUAUUUACCUGAAUGCUACAAAUGGCCAUAGAUUUGAAGAGGUUACCAAAGAGAGGUUCCUUCAUUCCGCACAAAUGAUGUCGCAGAUCACGCCGCUGGAGGUGGACAUUCUCUUUCAACUUUGCGACCUGCUCCAUCAGACUGGGAAAAUUGUAUACAAUGAUCUCGUGGCUAUUACACCCGAGCAGUAUUUCAAGCAAAUUACAAAACGCCUUGCCGAGAUUAAGGCGGUGUCGAGCCCGGAAGAGCGCGGCGUGUUCGUCCAGAUACUCGAGAGUGGAUACCGAUUUGUCUUAGGAUCUAUUGGUGGAGCCGUUGGCGCAACAGCCGUGUAUCCCAUUGACUUGGUGAAGACGAGGAUGCAGAACCAAAGGACCGGGUCCCUGGUCGGCGAGCUGAUGUACAGGAACAGCUUUGACUGCUUCCAAAAGGUCAUCCGGCACGAAGGUUUCUUCGGCCUUUACAGAGGUUUGUUGCCUCAAUUGAUGGGCGUGGCGCCGGAAAAGGCCAUCAAGUUGACGGUUAACGACUUUGUCAGAGAUAAGUUCAUGGAUAAGAAUGGCAAUUUACCCCUUUUCGGGGAGAUUAUAUCCGGUGCUUGUGCAGGCGGUUCUCAGGUGAUAUUCACGAAUCCUUUGGAAAUUGUAAAGAUCCGGCUGCAGGUGGCUGGUGAAAUAGCAGGGGGCUCCAAAGUCAGGGCGUGGACUGUCGUUAAAGAACUAGGUGUUUUUGGUUUGUACAAAGGCGCAAGAGCUUGUUUCUUAAGAGAUAUUCCAUUUAGUGCAAUUUAUUUCCCAAUGUAUGCACACACGAAGAUACGAUUAGCGGACGAAGGAGGGUACAAUACGCCUCUGUCACUUCUCGCUUCCGGUGCGAUCGCCGGCGUCCCUGCAGCAGCGCUGGUCACUCCUGCAGACGUAAUAAAAACAAGACUACAAGUUGUAGCCAGACAAGGUCAAACAACAUACAACGGAUUGCUAGACUGUGCAAAGAAAAUCUACAGGGAAGAAGGUGCCAAAGCGUUCUGGAAAGGAGCUACAGCCCGAGUGUUUAGAUCGUCACCCCAGUUCGGUGUCACCCUCUUCACCUACGAGUUACUACAGAGGCUGUUCGUGGUCGAUUUCGGAGGAUCAUGGCUGCUGUAAUUCAAGAUGGCUGCUGUAAUUCAAGAUGGCUGCUGUAAUUCAAGAUGGUUGCUGUAAUUCAAGAUGGCUGCUGUAAUUCAAGAUGGCUACUGUAAUUUAAGAUGGCUACUGUAGUUCAAGAUGGCUACUGUAGUUCAAGAUGGCUACUAUAACUCAAGAUGGCUACUAUAACUCAAGAUGGCUACUAUAAUUCAAGAUGGCAACUAUAAUUCAAGAUAGCUACUAUAAUUCAAGAUAGUUACUAUAAUUCAAUAUGGCUACUAUAAUUCAAGAUGGCUACUAUAAUUCAAGAUGGCUACUAUAACUCAAAAUGUCUGUUGUACCUCAAGAUAGCCACCAUAACUCAAAAUGUCUAUUAUACCUCAAGAUAGCCAUCAUAACUCAAAAUGUCUAUUGUACCUCAAGAUAGCCACCAUAACUCAAAAUGUCUAUUAUACCUCAAAAUGGCCACCAUAACUCAAAAUGUCUAUUGUACCUCAAGAUGGCCACCAUAACUCAAGAUGGCUACUAUAAUUCAAGAUGGUUGCUAUAAUUCAAGAUGGCUACUAUAACUCAAGAUGUCCACCAUAACACAAAAUGGCUACUAUGCCUCAAGAUGGCCACCAUAAAAUGGCCACCAUAACUCAACCCAGCCAUUACAACUCAAAAUGGCAGUCUACAAAUCUCUAAAAAUGUCCAAUAAAAUUUUCUGAAAAUCUA